UACGAAGGGGGCUAGCGUUGCUCGGAUUGACUGGGCGUAAAGGGCGCGUAGGCGGGAUGGCAAGUCGGUCGUGAAAUCCUUCGGCUCAACCGAAGAACGUCGGCCGAUACUGCCGUUCUUGAGGGAUGCAGAGGAGAUUGGAAUUCCUGGUGUAGCGGUGAAAUGCGCAGAUAUCAGGAGGAACACCCGUGGCGAAAGCGGCUCUCUGGGACGGUACUGACGCUGAGACGCGAAAGCGUGGGGAGCAAACAGG
rnacentral:rRNA from 1 species